AUUGAACGCUGGCGGCAGGCCUAACACAUGCAAGUCGAACGGUAACAGGAAGCAGCUUGCUGCUUCGCUGACGAGUGGCGGACGGGUGAGUAAUGUCUGGGAAACUGCCUGAUGGAGGGGGAUAACUACUGGAAACGGUAGCUAAUACCGCAUAACGUCGCAAGACCAAAGAGGGGGACCUUAGGGCCUCUUGCCAUCGGAUGUGCCCAGAUGGGAUUAGCUAGUAGGUGGGGUAACGGCUCACCUAGGCGACGAUCCCUAGCUGGUCUGAGAGGAUGACCAGCCACACUGGAACGGAGACACGGUCCAGACGCCUACGGGAGGCAGCAGUGGGGAAUAGUGCACAAUGGGCGCAAGCCUGAUGCAGCCAUGCCGCGUGUAUGAAGAAGGCGUUGGGGUUGUAAAGUACUUUCAGCGGGGAGGAAGGGAGUAAAGUUAAUACCUUUGCUCAUUGACGUUACCCGCAGAAGAAGCACCGGCUAACUCCGUG
rnacentral:rRNA from 1 species